UGAGCAAUCUGCCCUUCACAUCGGAAUAACCAUUGGAAACGAUGGCUAAUACCGAAUAUGACUUCGGAUCGCAUGAUCUGAAGUGGGAAGCUCCGGCGGUGAAGGAUGAGCUCGCGGCCUAUCAGCUUGUUGGUGAGGUAAUAGCUCACCAAGGCGAUGACGGGUAGCCGGCCUGAGAGGGUGACCGGCCACACGUGGGACUGAGACACCGGCA
rnacentral:rRNA from 1 species